ACGCUCGACACCUACUGGAGGCAGCAGUGGGGAAUAUUGCACAAUGGAGGAAACUCUGAUGCAGCGAUGCCGCGUGAGGGAAGAAGGUUUUCGGAUUGUAAACCUCUGUCUUUGGGGACGAUAAUGACGGUACCCAAGGAGGAAGCUCCGGCUAACUACGUGCCGGCAGCCGCGGUAAUCUGAGCGGGCUGGCAAGGC
rnacentral:rRNA from 1 species